CCAGUCAGACACCCUGUACUACUUCCGGUUGCUGGCGGAUGGAGGGUCGGCGGGUCAGAGCGAGGCUGUGACUGUCACGUGUUUCACAGCUUGCAAUGAUUCUCCAGCCGCAUAAGGAAUGACAGCGAGGAAGAACCAAGCUAUCAGCGUAACUGUGGCUUUUCUUCUAUCAUUUUCCAUAGACCAAAGACGCAAGAUAUCCCGAACGUUAUGUUAUCUAUAACAUUAGGUGCAUGAAUCUGAAUUUCACGAAACAGAAUACGUUUUUUAACUUACUACACCAGUUAGCUCGUGUACUUUUUGAUAUAAAACGAAUUUUGGGAGUGAACUUCUAUUAGCCCAAAACUUGAACCUAUGUAUAGUCUGUUUGCAAUGAAAACGUACCAAUGAAUUUCACUUUAAACCAAAAGG